GCUGGCGUAGCUCAGUUGGUAGAGCAGCGGUUUUGUAAACCGCAGGUCGGGGGUUCAAGUCCCUUCGCCAGCUCCA
rnacentral:tRNA from 1 species